ensembl:snRNA U6 U6 spliceosomal RNA
AUGCUCACUUCAUCAGAAUACAUAAUAAAAUUGGAAUGAUUCAGAAUAGGUUAUCAUGGCUACUGCACCUGGAUGACAUGCAGAUUCAUGAAGUGUUCCAUAUAUUU